rnacentral:rRNA from 1 species
GACGAACCGUCCAAACGUUAUUCGGAAUCACUGGGCUUACAGAGUUCGUAGGCGGUCUGGCAAGUUGGGUGUGAAAUCCCUCGGCUCAACCGAGGAACUGCGCUCAAAACUACCAGACUCGAGGGAGAUAGAGGAAAGCGGAACUGAUGGUGGAGCGGUGAAAUGCGUUGAUAUCAUCAGGAACACCGGUGGCGAAGGCGGCUUUCUGGGUCUUACCUGACGCUGAGGAACGAAAGCUAGGGGAGCGAACGGG